rnacentral:lncRNA from 1 species
AUCCUGCAAACCAUCAACCUGAACAAACUACUGUAUCAUCUGAAUAGUGUUAGGUUUUAAUUCAAAAGUAUUUGCAGCUACAGUAGGCCUAACUAUGCUAGAUUCAGUUCCUGUUAAAGAAUGUUUAGCAUAAUCAUACAUAAUACGUGGAGUAGGAUUUUGAUAAGCCGCAAUUGCAGGAGGUAGCUGAUUGUCUUGGUUUUCAGCCAUCUCGUCAGUUGGGGGUUGAGUAUCGUCUUCUCG